GAAUAACACCGGGAAACCGGUGCUAAUACCGCAUAUUCUGACGAGGUCCGCGGAUUUCGUCAGGCAAUCAUGAGUUCGCUAUGAGCGGGGUCCGCGGCUGAUUAGCUAGUUGGUGAGGUAAUGGCUCACCAAGGCAACGAUCAGUAGCCGGUCUGAGAGGACGGUCGGCCACACUGGAACUGAGACACGGUCCAGACUCCUACGGGAGGCAGCAGUGGGGAAUUUUUCGCAAUGGGGGCAACCCUGACGAAGCAAUGCCGCGUGGAUGAUGAAGUCUCUUGGGACGUAAAAUCCUUUCGACGGGGACGAAACCGCAAGGUUGACGGUACCCGUAGAAGAAGCCCCGGCUAACUCCGUGCCAGCAGCCGCGGUAAUACGGGGGGGGCAAGCGUUGUUCGGAAUUACUGGGCGUAAAGGGUGCGUAGGCGGCUCUCUAAGUCGGAUGUGAAAACUCUGGGCUCAACCCAGAGCCUGCAUCU
rnacentral:rRNA from 1 species